rnacentral:tRNA from 1 species
GAGGGUAUAGCUCAGUGGCAGAGCACAUGCUUAGCAUGCACAAGGUCGUGGGUUCAAUCCCCAGUACCUCCU